CAAAAACAUGUCCUUUUGUUUAUAAUUUAAGGUCUGACCUGCCCAAUGAUUUUUAAAUGGCCGCAGUAUUUUGACUGUGCAAAGGUAGCAUAAUCAUUAGUUUCUUAAUUGGAAGCUGGAAUGAAUGGUUUGAUGAAAAAUUGACUGUCUCUGUUUAAAUGAUUUAGAAUUUUAUUUUUAAGUUAAAAAGCUUAAAUUUUUUAUAAAGACGAGAAGACCCUAUAGAGUUUUAUAGUUAUGUAAGUUGAGAUUUAAUUGGUUUUUUUUGUUAAAAUUUAUUUAAUUAUUUUGUUGGGGUGACAUUAAAAUUUGAUAAACUUUUAAUUUUUUAAACAUUUAUAAGUGAAUUUUUGAUCCUAAUUUUUAGAUUAAUAGAAAAAUUACCUUAGGGAUAACAGCGUAAUUUUUUUGGAAAGUUCUUAUUGAUAAAAAAGUUUGCGACCUCGAUGU
rnacentral:rRNA from 3 species